rnacentral:rRNA from 1 species
UACGGGGGGGGUAAGCGUUGUUCGGAAUUACUGGGCGUAAAGGGCUCGUAGGCGGCCAACUAAGUCGGAUGUGAAAUCCCCAAGCUUAACUUGGGAACUGCAUCCGAUACUGGAUGGCUUGAAUCCGGGAGAGGGAUGCAGAAUUCCAGGUGUAGCGGUGAAAUGCGUAGAUAUCUGGAGGAACACCGGUGGCGAAGGCGGCUUGCUGGGCCAGUUCUGACGCUGAGGAGCGAAAGCGUGGGGAGCGAACAGG